CUUCUACAGAACUGUGUACCACCAAUGGAGAAACCCUCAAGGUCUGUGAUCACCACUUACCAGGAAAGCUGAGGGAAAUCAAAGCCCCCACCUACUGAAGAGAGGCGAGGAGAUCAAGCUAUGGACACAGCCAUAGGAACAAGGUUCCUGCCUUGAUUUCACUCAACGAUGGACUGUGACCCAGAAGUGUGAGUCAAACCAACCCUUUCCUCGCCAUGUUCCCUUUAGUCACAAUGUUUCAUUUCAGCAUCAGAGUGAAGCUAGAGCACUCAGGGGAAUAUCUGAGCCAUGAUGUAGGUGGAACAGCAUGUCAAGAAAGAGAUCGGUAUCGUAGUGGUAGGGCUAUCCUUAAGUGACUGUUGGCCUCAUCUCCUAAAGACUCACUUGCAGAACAGAAAUGAUGAGAGCAUCCUUUUGUAUCUGAAAGACUGCAAGGACUCUUGUCAAGCCUGUGCACAGGAUGCCAAGUUUACCUCUGCAUCCUCAGUGCCAGAUCCGUGAACGAAGAGUACAUUUUCUGACACCAGCUCACCAG